rnacentral:misc_RNA from 1 species
UUUCCGUAGGUGAACCUGCGGAAGGAUCAUUCAUAAUAAAGUGUUUUAUGGCACUUCUUAAGAAUCCAUAUCCACCCUGUGUGCAAUGUUAGAUCUCGUCAAUCUUGGCGAGAUUUUUAUACAUCAACUCAUUUUUUAACUAAUUUGUCUGAAAAAUAUUAUGAAUACUUAAUUCAAAAUACAACUUUCAACAACGGAUCUCUUGGCUCUC